rnacentral:lncRNA from 13 species
AAAGAAUUUAUCAAGAGUAGUUCAAAAAGUGCCUUUCUUCUUCUCAUCCUAUAAUGUUGAUAUAGUUUGGGUCUGUGAUGCCCGCCCAAAUCUCAUGUUGAAUUGUAAUCCCCAGCGUUGGAGGUGGGACCUGGUGGGAGGUGAAUGGAUCAUGGGGGUGGAGUUCUGGUGAAUGGUUUAGCAUCACCCUUCUUUGGCACUGUAUGAUGAGUGAAUUCUCACGAGAUCUGGUUGUUUAAGAGUGUUCAUCACCUCCCCCAUCUCUUCCAUCAGCCUGCCACGUAAGACGUGCUUGCUUCCCCUCUGCCUUCUGCCAUGAUCGAACAUUUCCUGAGGCCUCCUUCGAAGUGGAGCAGAUGCUGCCAUGCUUCCUGUGCAGCCUGUGGAACUGCGAGCCAAUCAAACCUCUUUUCUUUAUACAUUACCUAGUCUCAGGGACUUUAAGAAGCUGCUGAAGAACAAAAAUGAAGGUGGGAGCUGUUGGUGUCGAGUGACUCAUAGCACCAUCCUUCAGGGACGGUGUGGUUGGCCAGAGUAUGGUCAGGGAGAGCCAAGAGAAGAAGUGCUUCUGAGUAUGACCCAGCAGGGUGGAAAGAAGGAGUCGUCUCCCAAGUGCACAUUUGUUGGAGGAAGCUUUUGUGGGCUCCUGACAUUCCAUUAUUCUAGAACUACAAGGAGACACCCUCCAGAGAAAGCAGCAACAAGGCACCAUCUUGGAAGCUGA